rnacentral:lncRNA from 1 species
UCUACGACAAAACAAGUAGAUGAUCAGUGGAUACAACGUGUAUAGUAUAGAUAGAUAAUGAGAGAAGAGAGAGAGAAGUGGGUGUAUAAGGUUUAGAGUAGCUGAAAUUGCAUACAUUAAGAGAAUAAAGAUUGACGUGCUACAACACAGUUUGAAUGUGCUUGGAUGCGCCAACUAUCAUUUGCCCUGGACAGACUAAGCUUGACUCGGGUCUGGACGCGCUGACUGCUGUGUCAGUGAAUAAUAGACGACUAAUCCAGAUGCCCCUAAGGCCUGGUUGUUAGCUCAAGUAAUCAUAUCACCAACGUCUCGAUCUAGAAGUGAAGGCCUAUUAUAAGAAGACAUUAUCAUGCAAGUCACCUUCUCUCCCCUUAGUGCCAUAGAAUCACCAUCGCCCGUGCUAUUGAUCAAACUUCGAUGCAGUGACCCAACCGAGCUUGCUAUAUAGCGAUAACCCAGUAAAAGUUGAUUUCCCUAGCUCAACUAGAGCUAGGUGCCGCUCAACUGAGCCCGAUGGAGGAUCCCGCGAACUUGCUAUAGAACAAUAGUCUAGCUGUGGUGUCUAUCCUACCUAGCCCAGAACUGAUACUUGAUAUUUAUCCUUUAUAUUUGAUAAUAUAUGUUGUUGUGUUCUAUGUGUUCAUUUAAUUAAAAAUUUGUGCAUUUUAUAUGUGGAGAGAGGGUUUUGGAUAGGUUGUGGAAAUGGGCUUGUUCCCGUCAAUUGGGAGGGAAAAAAAGUAGGCAAACAAAAUAUAAAUUUUAUCUUAUCACGAAGGAAUAUGAAAUACUAAUCAGAUUGCCUCAUUUUUCCCAUGGUAAUAUAUACUAGAUUUUUGGUACAGGCGAUGCAUCAGUGAAAUUAACAGUGGAACCAAGAGUAUAAAAAAAAUCGAGAAAACCAAAUUAAUCCAAAAAUUCAAUUGGUCGAUUUUAGUUGCUAGUUAGAGGUUUCGAUUUUAAAAUUUAAAAACGAUUUUUUCUUUUGGUUGGUUUGUAAUAUGCUAAAUCGAUAAAAAAUAACUAACCGAAUAACUAUCUGCUUACUACUAGAAAUCUAAUCUUAGGUUAUUCAUAUACCCACUCCUUUUAUUCUCAACCCUUAGGCCUGUUGAUAAUCGUGUUAAGUGGCCGAAUUGUACUAACAAUCCGGUGGGCUCGGUAAUCGGUGUUUGAUUUUGACAUUAGUGGCCAGACUAAUAGUCCGGUCGGACUAUUAAUCUCCAAAAAUAGGGGGGGGGGCGGAUGGGUAAUACCAAGGGGGCAUGGUAUUAGAAUCCCAUCCUCCAAUAUGGGUCUAAAUUGACCAAAUACCCUUGAUAUUUGUAAUGUAUAAUUGAAGGGUAAGUAUAAAAAUUCAUGUUAUAAUCUCAUCUAAUUAGACCAAAUUGAUCAAAUUAUUCUUGAUAUUUAACAAUUUCACUGUCUAAUUCUGUGUAAAUCAAACAAGAGGUUGGAUUACCCCAUCUCAUUACUAAUCUCCACUCAUUAUCAAUCUCAAUUGUAAUUUCACCUCAUUACUAAUUCUACCAAUCUUAUCACAUUUAUCAUAUGAGGCCUUGGUUCUAAGCAACCACACCUAAACCUGGAUGCCUUUUCAUUUGCCUUGUUCCCUAAUAGAGGUAGAGCCCGCCUACACUCUCCCUUUCUCUUUUGGACUCUGGCCAUCACUCAUAAGUUCUGCCACGGGCUAUUAUGGUUUUGAACUUGUUAAAUUAUAAAGUUUUUUGUUAUAAACUUGUUAAUUAUUAUAUUUUAUGCUUUGAAAUUUAAUGAUUAAGUUGAUGUUACUAUUGAGGCCCAAAAAAUUAGCCCCCCAAAAAUCGAACCAAAUAUUUCCUAACCGAAUUGUCCGGUUUCUUUACUAGAAUUAUAUAUUUCGGUUUCACAAUUCUAUAAAUUAAAAUUUUCAAUUAGGACUCAUAAUUUAUCUCAAAAUUGAAUCGACUGAACCAAUUACACCAUAAUUUCGCUUGAUGCUUCUUUACUUUCGCUUUUUAUUGCUUAAAAAAAGAAAACUUUCCUCCUUUAUAUCAAUUUUGAUAUAAAUCAGUCAUGACUUAGACAUAAAACUCUCUACAAAUCAGAGAAAUAUACUAGCCUUUUUUCGUGUUCCCGAGAUCGUAGCGCACGUGAAUGCAGAUCGCUUGUUUGGUAUGUGGUCCCAAACUGCAUUGGUUUGCAGUUGGGCAGGCACACGGUUUAUCUCUGAAUUCUCUGCGAAUGGGAACAAAUACACUCACACCGCUAUGAUUUUCAGUGAUUUUUUUUUGGAGGGCUCCACUUGCACAGUUAAGCAAAAAACCGAACCCCUUCAUUUUUUCCGUUGGGACCAUGAACACGAGGCCAGUUGGGUCAAUCUCUCACGGACCCAUUUGGCCUCUAGUUUUUUUUUUUUUUUCAAUUUUCGAAUCAUGAUUUGAAGUUUUUCGUUUUAGUGCUUUAACUGUGGCCAAAAUCUUGCAUAUUUGAAAUUAACCAAUUAGGUUUAUGUGAUAUCGGUUUAGUAAUAGAAUAUAUUCAUUAUAAAUCCUAUGUAUUUUGAAUUAAAUUUAUUUUUGCUAUCACGGUUGAAAUCUAUUGAGUUAAUUCCAUGAUGAUAUUCAUUGAGAUUUAUUUUUUUCCUCCAAACUAUCACUUCUUUUUCUCAAGGUAUGAGACCACAAAGGUUCUUAUUUCAAUGGAUAUUUUUUUUUAAAAAAAUAGACAAUGUUUAACAAUUGAAUCCUUUUCUAGUGGGAAUUCAUAGCAAAAAUUUAAAACAUACUUUUUUCUCUUAUUUUUUUUUGUAUCUAAUAUAUUUUUUUUCACUAUUUGAUUAAUUUUAUAUAUUUUAGUCCUUUUGACGAUAAAAGAUUAUUUAAUUUAAAGACAUUUUUUUAAGAAAUACAAAAAGUAUAACCAUGAAAUUAGGAAAAAAAUACUAACGACAAUAUAAAAUAAAAACUAAAGCAGAUUCCAACUUACCUCAAAUAGAAAGGAAACGGAUUUUCAUCGUCUUUGAUAUUUAUAAUCAUGUUAUUCUAAUUAUUAAUAAAAAUAGCUGAGUUUAAAAAUUUAAGUAAAAAAUUAAAUAUUUAAUAUAAAAUGUUAUCAUAAUAAGACAAAAAAAAUCUAUCCCCUUAAGAUACAACAAUUUUUAAUCUUCCAAACAAAUAUCUAUAUUAUAAAACACAAUCAAUUUGAUCUCUAAACUAUUGUCACUAUCUACUGUUGAAAUACGUUUGAAUUAAACUAACGGCUGAGAUUUCACUUGCGAUAUUUUUUUCCCAAAAAUCACUUCAUACUUCAAAUGUGUGUGAGACCCCAAUAGUGAUUCUUAUCUAAUGGAUAAAAAAUGCUUAGGAGAUGGACAGAUCCAUAGAUCAUUUUUUAGAGCGGAAAAAAACGCACACCAAAAAAAUUAAAAAUCGCUCGGUUUUCUUCAUUUUAUCCCAAACUAUCAAUUUUUUUAAAUAUCUCUUUUAAUUUAUUUUAUAUUUUGGAACAAGUAUCUGUUCGAAGCAUGCCCUGUAUCUUUAUCUGACGUUCUAGAAUAGCUAUUUUUUAAAUUAUUAAAAACUUAAUGAGUACACUUAAGAUAUGAGCUUUUUUUACGUUGUGGCAGUGGGGCAAAAUUACUAUUAUAAUAUAAGACACAAAUAUUUGAAUUUCAACACCCUAUCUUUCAUGAUCGACGGUUGACAGUACAUUGAAUUAUUUCCAACGACUGGAUUUUACCUGAAAUUUUAUUUUGUUUUUCCAAAAAAAUAUAUUUUGAUUGUCCAAAUGUUAUGACCCAAUCGGUUAUAUUAAGGACAAAAAUCUCUAAAAUGGCAUAUUUUUAGCAAUUGACUAUUUUUUAGUGGAUCUACAAAAAAAACAACUAAAAUACAUAUUUUUUUUCAUUUUUCUCAAAUAGCAAACUGUAGUUAAAAUUAUCGUGUAUUAACUUGCUCUCCAUUGUAGUAAUGCAUUAUCUUGUAUAUGUAUACAGAAUAGGUUUUUUGACAUUUAUAUUUUUCUAUUUUGUAAGUAUUAAAAUUCUAAUGAGUACGCGUGAUUCUGUUUUGGGUAAAUAUCAUGACCUCACCUGGAUUUAGGAAAAAAGAAGAAACUCUUAGGUUUAGAAAAUUACCUGACCUCCCUGUUCAGGACCUUUGUCUGCCCACUAUUGCAUUCUCAAAACUACCAUUUUUGCACUCUCAAUCAAGCAGCCCGCCAACCCCCAUCCCUACGCCAUGUCUUUUUAUUUUUUUUUUUAAUAAUUUUUUUUAAUCUAAAUGAUUUCUCUUGUUAUUAGGGUUAUUUUCUUUGGUAAAUAAAUUUUUUAUAUGUGUUUUUUGUUUUGUUUUUUUAAUUAAUUUAUUAGUUUUAGGUAGUUUUUUUUUUAUUAACAAAAAUGUAUUCAUAAUAAAAAAUAAAACAAUUAAAAAAAAUUUAUUAUUAUUUUUUUAAUUCAAUUGUUCGUUGUUUAAUUUUUGUUAUUUUUAUAUAUAUACUUUUAUUUUGAUUCAUAUUUGAUGACUUUUUUUUAACUUUUAAAAUAACAUAAGACUCCAAAAAUUGAUUUUAAAAAAUUUAAAAAAUACUACUAAAAAAAAAUAAAAUAAACAAAACUAAUAAAAAUGACAAAGAGGAUAGCAAAAAAAAUAUAAAUAUUUCACACCAAUACCACACACCUAAAAUUGGUUGUCGAUUCACAAUGUCAAAUUAGGGUGUAUUUUACAGUCGACAACCAAUUUUAAUUUUUAUCGUUAUUUGGUAGUUAGUUUUAUUUAUUUAGUUAGGUUUUUUAAUUUUUAAAUCAAUGAAAAAAAAGUACUGAAAAAAACUAUUAACAAAAAAAACUAUUUUUUGAUUUAGUAUUAUUGAUUCUGUAAUUAACUAUUGUGUGGUAUAAAAACAACAACUAAAUAAAAAAUAAAAAUAAAUAAUAAAAAGAAACAAAAAAAAAAUAGAUAAUAAACAUUCUUUAUCACCAAAAGAAAAAUAAAAUUGAAAAAAAGAGAAAUAUAAAUUAGGAUUUAAAAAAAUAAUUUAAAAAAACUUUAAAAAACUUGAAAAAAAAUAGGGGGUGGGGGUGGGGGGGGGCGGGUGGUGGCUGGUGAGAGGGGCCAAAAUAGGAUUUACAACGUGCAAUAAUGGCAGAACAACAGUCUGACAGGGGAAGGUCAGUGCUAAUUGUUAAAUUAAGGGAUGGUUCUAUUUACUAUCCUAAACCUCAGGGGAGAUCAGUGAUAUUUACUUUUUUUUUAUGUAAUUCGCCAAAGGACAAGUAUAGUUUGCUUUUAAAAACAUGUACUUAUUGACAAUAUCUUUAGUUUCUGUCUUUUUUUAUAGCGUUGGUCUGACAUUUUUUUUUUCUUCCUGUUCUUUUGUGGGAUUCAGUUUUACAAAUGUAAUAGACGUGCAGGGACACGGAGAUAGUGAAAAGGACACAAGCUCGGAGUAGUAAAUGAAAACAAAACUGUCAGUUGAGGCUGACAGGGGAAAGAGCAUUCAAACUUACGGAACUACAGUGAUAAGUUUUACUUCAUCUAUCGACCUAGCACAGGUUACAGACAACGGCUAUCUAGCGAUCUCCUUCCUCUUCUUUUCCGAUUACUGUAACCUAGACCUCACAGUUGGUUCGUUCCCCUUUCUCUCUCGAUUCUCCUCUUGCUCUUCCGAUUACUGUAACCGAGGCUCACAGUUGGUCGUCCUCUCUCUCAAGAUACAGAACAUAUAGGUGUGGGUGAAUCGAAGCUUUGAUUCGGUUUGUUUUUAAUUAGGAUUUUACUCCGAUGUUAAAAUUAGAGGUUUGAUCUCGGCUUAUUAGCGAUUUGGGUGUGUUGUGGUGCGAGUUGUUAAAUAGAUAGUUCAAUCUCGAUUUGUGGUUCACAGAUUCAGAUUGCGAGUAGAUAGGACAGAUAUGCGUACAUAGAUGAUUUACAAUGAUAUGUAAAUACACAAAUGAGUUCUAUUCAUGAAUGAUUAUCUUCCUAAAACAUUAUUAAACUCAUUUAAAAACUUACAGUCAAUCACAGGAACUUGAAGAAUUUUGAAAAGAGGAAAUAAUUUACAUAUACCCAGGACGAAGUGAAUUUAAGUAAACUUGGAACGUGACUCAACUUUUUUUUUUUUUUUUAUUGAGAGGACAAAUUGGAUCUCCAUUAGGUGAUAUUGCAGCGGAAUAUAUACAAGUAUGCCGUGCGGAAAUAAUUAUUCUGGUCUAGUGCUGUAUGUGAACGUUGCACUGACGAAAAAGACGGCAAAUACACCAUGUGACAAAUGUACAAAGAAAACUUGGUGGAUGAAUUCCGAUGAGUAUCACAGCUUGAAAAAACAAGGAGGAUGCAUUAGUCUACUAGGAAACUUGGUAGGAUGAAAAAGGCAGAACACAAAAAACUCGGAAAAGGUGGAAUCAGCCUAGGAUUCGAUUUGACAAUAACAAUUUCUGCGACCACAAGUUGCGUAGCUGAGUAACACGGAUGCAUUCGUUCCAUUAGAUUAUAUGGGGAAAAGAAAUGGGAAACAUCCUCUACCACAUUUAACUAAGGGUGUGGGGGGAAGACCCCGUCUUUUCAACUUCACGCAAGGCUUGUAGACAGGUAGCAAGAAAGGGGAAAAAUAGGAUCCUUGGGCAUUUAGGUCGAGUGGAGAUUGUGGAUGAACCUAUUCUCCUAGAUUUGCAAUGUGUAUUUGAAAUUUCUGCUAUCUCGUUUCUUGCUGUGGGUCUAUUGAACCUUGUCGAUUUUCCCAAACCUGUGUCAAAAGAGUAGUAUAAUACCAAUCUUAUUAGUCACUUACGGAUUAGGGUAGGUAAAUUUUUUUUCCAUCAUCAUCUUCCUUUUCAAUUUUUUCUUGCGAUGGAAGUGAUGAAGUUGUGAUACGUGAUUAGUUUCCUUUUUUUAUGAGUGUCAAACUUGUCUUCAAAUUAUUGUUGUUUGUCGCUAUGGGGAUUUCCUGCAUGGCAUAGGAAAUGGUCCUGCUCCAAUUGGUUUAGAUGGAUAUUCCUUGAAGUCAGAGCAUGUUUCUUCAAUGCAUUUAAUGUGUUUAGGUUGAUGGUUACUUUUUGGCCUUAAUUGUGAGCACGUGAUAUGGUCAAAUAAAUCUUACCAGGACAUGUUCUGAAGAACUGAUUCCCUGUCAAGUCAGCAAUUAUCUUGCGGCUAAAAAAAGUGCUAAUAACUGAUGUGAGGUGGAAUUGGCAUGUUUAAGCGUUUGGUCCUUUUAAUGUGGGUUUUUUGUGUACACAGUGAAAGGGGAAGUAGAGUUUUUAAUUUUGGCUUAUGGAUGUGGCCUUGGAUACGGUUAUGAUGUGGACAGGGGGAGGGCAGUGGGUGUUGGUGUUUUUUGCUGAUCUUGUGCUUGUGGUCAAUUGAGAUAGUGUUGAAUGAGCUCAGGCAGCAGCAUCAGGAGGCAGGAGCAGGGCUCGAUGGAUCACAAUAUCCAUAACUAUACGGCCUUCCUAUCGCGAUGAACCUUACCGAAGGGAUCAGCGGGGUUUCAGGUUGUUUAUGUUCAAUCAUUUAUUAGUAUUCCUUUGUUUCUUUGCUAUUCCUGUACAAAGAUCAUGCUAAACGUGGGAUCUAAAUUAGCUGCCAUAUGUCGGUUUUCUAAGCUGAUAAAUUUCAUUUCACAUUUAUGACGAAUCAACCUUCUGUCUGCAUGAAUGUUCUCUGAGGACCUUUGAACGGAUGACUCAUAUGUGUUGCUUCGGAUAGUGGAUACUCCAACUAUAUCGCUAUAUCUUUCCUUUUCUCAGUAUGUUAUGCAUACACCUAUGUAUAUCUAGUCUCUAGAUAGCUAUUUAGAAUGUUUUUGUACAUGGCCACACUGCAUUUCAAACUAUUCGAAAAAUUUUAAGAGCUAGUGGCUAGCCAAUCUGGAUAUUUGUAUGACUUAACAUCUUCAUUGGCUGGAGUAUACAUAAGCAGGAGCCGACACAUUUGAUCUCAAUCUGUUAAUGUCGAUUCCAAACGUGGUUCCCAUCCAUGUCGUUGAAUUCAGCGUUCAAUUCAAAGUGUCGAUCUCAAUCGCCGACAGAUGUUUGAGGAGGCCGUUGUUGGAAACAUUGAGGAGGCCAAAGUACUGGCUUCCUAACUGCUUGUCCUGAAGUCCAUAGAUGGUGAGAUUGCAAAUCGAUUCAUGAGACCAAUAUCUUCUCUCUUUGGAACAAUGGCAAAGACAAGUGUGUGGAAAUGAAAGGGUAUCUGGGUUUGAAUCUAUGGGGAGUUUAUAGAAAGUGCUACGUUUGUUGCCCUGAACCAUUGUAGAUGAACUGGCUUUCAUCUCUGGCCAAGGCCAGGGGGUUCAAGUGAACACAAAGAACUAUGAGAAAACAAAUUGUCAGUGAAGUGGUAGACAUUUUAGGAAAGAUCUCUACUUCCCGGCAAAGAUGGGUGGUGUAUAUACUUGUGUUGUCUCUUAGAAAACAGUAAUGUUGGUAGUCAACAAUCUUGCAUGUUCACUACUGAAAAGUCGUGCAUUUAAUUUUUGAACUAAUUUCUCCUUUAUUAUUAGGUUUCUUUCUCAAAUUCUAUUUACCAAUGGUUGAAUUUGAGUUUCUUUUUUGAGUAUACAUGAUUAUUGGGCUUAGUUAUUUUGUGUUUUGUUUUUGUAAUUAAGACUUUGUGACUGUCUAGUUGACAACACUGUUUUCAUUCUAGUUUUAUUUUUAACCUUUCCUAACCGAUUGGCAACAAACUACAAAGAAAAAAAAACUUGCCCCAUUAUUUUACACUCUGAAAUUGCAAUAACCGAUAAAAACUAUUUGAUCCUUUUCUAUUUGAAAUUUAAUAUGGUCGCUUGGUUUGCUCAAUUUUUUAUAUUUUUUUGGAUAUUUUUUUGCCAGAAAUUCUAUUUUUUUGUUCUAGGUGAUUUUUUUUUUAUAAUAUUUUUCAAAACCUUUCGUUCUUUUUCAUUUGAUUUUUUGUGACUAAAAAAAUUAUAACAAAUAAUAAAUAAUAAAGGGAUUGUUUUGGAUGGAAGACUUGGUCAUCUCCCAUGUGAAAGGAAUAAAUUACAUCGUAUAUAGGCGGUUGUAAAUUGCUGUAACAUACAUAGGUGGUCAUUUCCCAUGUGAAAGUGGUUGCAGAGUAACGUACAUAGAUGGUCAUCUCCCGUGUGAAAGUGGUUGCAGAGUUACUAAAGGCGAAAAACACAUCAAGGUGCAAAAGACAAUGGAGUCUCAGGUGCGAAGUGAGGUCCCACACUGAAGUCCUACUUUGAAACUUUCAAAUCACCUAGCCUUUUUAAUACAAUAAGACUUUGUUCCGAUAUGUCUUUGCCUGAUAUAUUGUCUCCUCCAAGCUUGGUCCACAAACUCAUAAGCACUUUUCUCAUGUGCUACUGUGAACACUCGUGUUCAUCCUGUCUGAUUUGCCAAAUUGUGUUUCUGUUCAUCUUCUUCAUUCCUCAUCUUUUUCGCGCGCUAUAAUGUUUUGGCUCUCUAAUUAGAACUCUUAAAAGGAUAAUCUUGAGUUAUGAAUAUUUCCUACCUAGAAUAUGAUAAUAAUUAAGUAUCAUAUUGUAAGUCUAUCACUUCCUUCUCUUGGUCUAUAAAAGAAAGAGUAAUGGUGCUGAGACUUCUAUGCUAGUGCUGAGAUUACUAUGCAAAGAGUUAGAGAGAGGUGAGUGGAGUGGGAUUCUCCUCCUUUUAUACUUAUUGUAAUCCCCUUCGAUCGAUUAAUAAUUAAUUGCUCUUUGUAGACGUAGGCAUCAUUGAUCGAACCACAUAAAUCUUUAUUGUCUUGUGUGUAGUUGAUCUGGAUAGUAGAGGGUAACGUGAGUUUUUACCCAACAAUUGAUGAUUCGAUUUUUGAAUACAAUAAUUUAAAACUGUAUUGAAUCUUAUGGGAAGCUUAUAGAAAGCGUGACCGAUUUGUUGCCUUGUCAUGUUGGUGAGCUGCAGUAGACCCUUGGAAAGAUUUUUUGCAACCCAUCCAGUUGAAGAUUGUUGGCUCCAUGAAGUCCAUGGGUAAUGACCUGGUUUUUAAUCUUUUCAGUUGAGGCCAAGGGCUGCAACAUGAACACAAAGAAUUAUAGAAACAAAUUGUUCGUGAAGUGGUAGUCAAUUUAAGGAAAGUAAGGAGAUAAUACUUCCUUCCCAAUGUGUGUGAUGUAAUCUUUGUUUUCUUUGUACGCAAGGCAUCCUAUAACAUUUUCUUUGGGGUUGGCAAAGGUGUGUUACCACAGCCUCAAGGCACUAGACUCACUAGUCCAACCUAAACAAACAAAAAUUUGUUUGAGAAAGAGUUAUGGUCAUCUCCGAUUGAGAUGUUUUUCAGAAUUUUUUUACCUUAAUUUCUGAUUUUUUAUUUUGUUUUUAGUGUUCUUUUCAAAAAAAAUAAAAAAUUCUUUUGAAGAAAUUUCAAAUUCAUUCACGAUUUUGAUUGUUUUGGCUUUUAAAGAAACAAUCUGCACAUGGUUUGGUCUUUCAUUGGUUCUUAAUUUCCAAGGUGCAUUGCCUUCAACGAACAGAGGGAUGACUCCAGUGCGACUCUAAAACUUUUUAUUAAUGGUGUUAUACAAAAAUUUAAACACAAAUUUUAGUUAAUGGAGUCAAAUAUAUUUCUUUUAUGGGUUCAACUUUUCUAAAAAAUAUUAUAUAUAACACAAAAAAAACCAGCUUGGUAUAAUCUGUACCAAGACUCGUAGGGGAAAGAGGGCCUAAGAUCAUCUUUUGUACUAGCCCUCUUUGCCAACUUUCUAUAGCGUUUGUAUAAUUUUUCCACGUGUAGAUUUUUUUAACGACUUAAUCAUGUAUUUUUUUAGUUUCUCCUUGAUGAGAACAGUUUGGUAUAAUAGUCAUGUCUAAAUUUUUAGUCACUCGUGCCAAUACUUAAAAAUACAGUUAAUUGUUGCGCUCAAUAUUUGUUUCUGACCUACCCAUUCGGUCACCAUAAUGAAACCCGAAAAACAAAAGCUCAAUCUUCUACUCUUAUAGCAUUCUAUCCGAUUAUUUCUUUCUUACACUUUCUUACCCCAAAUCCUAAUUCAAGUUUUUCGCGCCAUCUGCAAUAAAAAAAUCUAUCCACUGCUAGGAAUGAUCACAAGAUCAAUUUGUAAGGAGAUAAGUUCUCUGAAUUGGGAUGAUUUAGUGGCCUUCCAAACUCCUGCUUAUGUUUAACAUUUUUGCAAGUGUGUUUGAUGUGAACCAUUUUCAACAUUGACUGGUUGCCUUUGUAUCAUUUUAUUUCACUUUUUUGGGUUUAGUUGCGACCUUGAUAUGGGUCCUUGUUUUUAGUUGAGUUUUGCAUAGAUUACAAGAAGGAACUAUUUAGAAAGUUAAAAGCUAAGGCUCUUGAAAUGAAAAAUGAACGGAUUAUUUUGAGAAAUCUUCCUUCUUCGCGUGCGACGAUACUAGGGAUUGGUAAUAGAAAGUUCAAACUAGAAAUACAAUUUUACAGACACCAUGAUGAUAUAUUGUUAGUUCCUUAAUCACUAUCUAUUUUUACAGACCAUCUAUAUGAUAUGUGAUACCAUGCUCUGGCAUGUCCAAGAGAUUAAAUUUUUUUUGAUUCACAACGACCUCUAUAGAGGAUGGAUCAAUGCCUAGAUUCGGAAUCAGCUGAAAAUCCUCUCCAAGGAAGAAGGGACUGACAUGGACAAAUUAAAACAGAUGCUUCGUUGUCGACAGGGCAAAAACAAAACCGUCGGAAUCUCUCGGCAGCAAGGCAGCUCUGUCAGGUAUUGCAACCACUUGCCUCAUGCUAGGCCUUGAUCUGCCUUACGCGUGGGAGCACAGCGCCCUUAGCUUCAAACAACGACAUUUCAUCAGAGGAGUAAUAACCCCCCAACCUCGGAUCACUUGUCUCGAGAAAUAGCUCCGUGUUUCCACUCUCAAACACCCAAUCCACCAACAUCAUCUCUUCAGGCAAUGCUUGCGGCUCUAUGGGCCGUCUUCCAUACAAGCCACUGUCAAAAGCAAAAUGCCCCGAAACCCAAAGACAUCGUGCUUGUAGUAGCCUUGCCGUUUCUGGUAAGCUCUGGUGCAAGAUAGCCCACGUUCCCAACCACAUGGUAGUUGAAGGGUUUUUUCUUUCUCCAUGAUCAUACAAUCGGGCUAGUCCAAAAUCACCGGCUGGUCAUUCAAUCUGCUCCACAGAACAUUGCUAGCCUUCACUCUUCUAUGAAGAACAACUUGUUUCCCCCCCCUCUUCGUGUAGAUACAUAAGGGCGGAUGCCUACUCCUCUCAGGAUCCGUAACGUGAACCAGUUGAGGUUUGGUUUUCAUUGGGUAAAUAGGAAACUUGUCGAGGGCUUUCGUUGGGCAUAUAUCGUAUACCAAGAGGCCGCUCUCCCUUUCUCGGCUAUAGCAGAGGAGCUUCACCAGUUCCUAUGCCCUAUUCCGUCCCUGCUAGAGAUUCAGCAACAAAUUCGCUUCUCCCUUGGUUUGAAUCAUGACACUUUCUUGACCGCUACCUUUGUUCCUGGACAUGGAAGUACCUCUUUGUAAACCUUCCCGAAACCUCCUGUUCCCAGAAAGCCUUGGUCUUUGAAAACCUUUGUUGAAGCUUUUUAAAGACCUUAUAGGA